CAGCAUGUUUUGGCUCUGAGCCGUUGUGGACUCUUGAUUUCUGAAGAGAACACAAGUAGAAACAUGCUAGAUUAACACUUGAGGAGUUAACAGGGCCACCAGUCUCUCAAGGUCAGACUGAGUUGGUAGUAUAAUACUCCAACACUC